GCUCCCGCCGCCGCCCCGGCGGCCUUUGGGGGCUGAGCCGGAGCCCGGCGCGAUUACAAAGUUUUCGUGCGCGGCCCCUCUGGCCCGGAGUUGCGGCUGAGACGGGCGCCGCGCGAGCCGGGGGACUCGGCGACGGGGCGGGGACGGGACGACGCACCCUCUCCGUGUCCCGCUCUGCGCCCUUCUGCGCGCCCCGCUCCGUGUACCGGAGCAGCGAUCCGGGAGGCGGCAGAGAGAUAACCUGAGGACAAUGGAUGCUGAUGAGGGUCAAGACAUGUCCCAAGUUUCAGGGAAGGAAAGCCCCCCUGUAAGCGAUACUCCAGAUGAGGGCGAUGAGCCCAUGCCGAUCCCCGAGGACCUCUCCACCACCUCGGGAGGACAGCAAAGCUCCAAGAGUGACAGAGUCGUGGGUAAGUGGGUCACCAGCGGCCUCUGUGCCUGUGAAACCUUUAUCUCUUUGUAUUUUUCCAAGACAAUGAUGAAGGGAUGCAAGUCAUUUUAUCCAUUGUGUUCCCUCAACUGGCAUAUUAAAGAAAUAUGGCACAAAGAUCAGCAGGAUGGGGGUCCUCUGGUGUGUGGGAGGAUGGACACUCACAGGCCAGCAUGGCCGUGAGAGCCGCACACCCCAGAAAAUGUCC
rnacentral:sRNA from 1 species